rnacentral:rRNA from 1 species
GAGACAGCAGCAGCCGCGGUAAUACGUAGGUGGCAAGCGUUGUCCGGAAUUAUUGGGCGUAAAGGGCUCGCAGGCGGUUUCUUAAGUCUGAUGUGAAAGCCCCCGGCUCAACCGAGGAGGGUCAUUGGAAACUGGGAAACUUGAGUGCAGAAGAGGAGAGUGGAAUUCCACGUGUAGCGGUGAAAUGCGUAGAGAUGUGGAGGAACACCAGUGGCGAAGGCGACUCUCUGGUCUGUAACUGACGCUGAGGAGCGAAAGCGUGGGGAGCGAACAGGAUUAGAUACCCGGGUAGUCCCUGUCUCUUAUAC